GACGAACGCUGGCGGCGUGCUUAACACAUGCAAGUCGAACGGAAAGGCCCUGCUUUUGUGGGGUGCUCGAGUGGCGAACGGGUGAGUAACACGUGAGUAACCUGCCCUUGACUUUGGGAUAACUUCAGGAAACUGGGGCUAAUACCGGAUAGGAGCUCCUGCUGCAUGGCGGGGGUUGGAAAGUUUCGGCGGUUGGGGAUGGACUCGCGGCUUAUCAGCUUGUUGGUGGGGUAGUGGCUUACCAAGGCUUUGACGGGUAGCCGGCCUGAGAGGGUGACUGGCCACAUUGGGACUGAGAUACGGCCCAGACUCCUACGGGAGGCAGCAGUGGGGAAUAUUGCACAAUGGGCGGAAGCCUGAUGCAGCAACGCCGCGUGCGGGAUGACGGCCUUCGGGUUGUAAACCGCUUUCGCCUGUGACGAAGCGUGAGUGACGGUAAUGGGUAAAGAAGCACCGGCUAACUACGUG
rnacentral:rRNA from 1 species